rnacentral:rRNA from 1 species
CAGUAGCCACGGGAAUACGUAAGGUGCGAGCGUUAAUCGGAAUUACUGGGCGUAAAGCGUGCGCAGGCGGUUGUGUAAGACAGGUGUGAAAUCCCCGGGCUUAACCUGGGAACUGCGCUUGUGACUGCACAGCUAGAGUAUGGCAGAGGGGGGUGGAAUUCCACGUGUAGCAGUGAAAUGCGUAGAGAUGUGGAGGAACACCGAUGGCGAAGGCAGCCCCCUGGGCCAAUACUGACGCUCAUGCACGAAAGCGUGGGGAGCGAACAGGAUUAGAUACCCGAGUAGUCCCUGUCUCUUAUAA